UAAGCGUUGAAGGUUGCAGACUCCUUGUCUAUUGCUGUCGCUUAAGAAGAUAUGUGUAUGACUUUUUACUUCUGCUUAAGUAAUUACAUUUUAAAACCUUUCUAUCUUAAGUAUAUGUUUUUAGAUGCUCUCUAUCUGCACAGGCCAUUUUAAUGCUUACUUCUAUUAUUUGAUGCUGUCCUCUUCCCGUUAAAUGUCAGUGAGUGCUGCUGACUAACGUGUGUAGGAAGAAUCAGUCACAGCCAAGUUAGCGGUCAAGCAGGCGGUUAAAGGCGGCGUAUUUGCUGCCACCUAGCGGUCAUGCGUGGCAUCGUGUUUCCUUGAGGAGGAGGCAACAACCAAAAUAAAUACCCACAUACCAUUCCAUCGCACCUGUUAAACCAAACCAACGGCUUCUGCAAAACCGUCAAUGGACGUCAGUGUGAUUUCUUUCCUUCUCCAACCACACCUUCAGGCUACAAGACCGGAGAGAGGACCUUUGGAGGCUGCUGAGAGAAAUUAAAAGCAGCAACAGUUGGACCCGUCCAUGCGCUGACGGUCGCGGAGGAUCCCUAGAUGGUGGCUCAAGCUUUUCUGUAACCUGGGAAGUCGCUGCGUUGCUCAUCAUGUACGCCCACAGGAGGCAGCCCAGCAUUGAAAUGCUAGAGUUAAUGGGAGUGGUGAGAGAAAAUGGCAGAGCAUCAAAAUAUGCUCCUCCUUCGGUAAGAUUUUUUUUUUAUAUCCAAUUUGUCAUUGUACAAAUAUUAGGGUGCCUCUAUACUCUGCACGAUUACUUGUUUGAGAAUUGCUUGCAUUGCUUUAUUAUUAUUGUUGCUUGUUUGCAUCAUAGUUCACCCCACUGUCUUGCGACUUUGUCCUGGUGGGCAAAAAAGUCCACAGCCUGAAACAAAGGGAUUAUAUACAUGAGCUGGAGAAAAAGAAUUUCAAAGUGAAGGUGGGUCCUAAACAACAAAACAAAACUUAUUUUUCUUUUUUUUUAGCAAAUGCAUUUUUUUAAUCAAGUAAUUCUUUCUUCUUUUAGGAAAUUGUAGAUGAUGACAUCAUUUUCUAUGGGGUACAAGCACCUGAGGAAAUAUUUCACAAAUACAGACAUCUGCUUAAUAAUGACCCUAACUGGGACUCAACUAUGUAUGUGGUGCCUCUCAGAAUAAGGUAAACAUACUCACUGGGCAUGGACACAUCUAUUAGAUAUCUCAAUCAUGGCUGUUUAAAUGUUUCCAGCUAUAGACAUGCAUUACUGUAUUUAUCUUCAUAGAGGCCAAUUGCACAUCGCUGUCUAGAUCUCUAGCAGACGACUUUCCCACAGAUAUUUUGUUGCGGUCCCAUCAUGCCUUGCACGUUGUAAACAAGCCAUUUGGGUUGUUUCUUCCCACCAGGAACAAGAUUUAUGUUAGAUAACUAAAAUGCAUUUAUGGUAGAAGUUUUCUGGACAUCUGAGACAACUCUGUUUUGUUACUCUAUGAAAGAUCUACCAGUAGUAUGGUGCAUACAGAGAUCUUCUACACAUCUACCUGUUGCCAUCUAAUCUUUGGAUAUUUUUAGAUGUCUAUUAAAAAACUUUUUUGAACAUUUACUUGAUAAAAUUCAAAAUGCAGUUUUACAUCCAUCUAAUCAUCUUCAAAACCUGCUGAAGCCCUUUUGGGGUCACAAGGUUGCUACUGUUGGGGAAAGGUGGAGUACACCCUGAAUAGGUGGCCAGCCUGUUGCAUCCUAUUUCUGUUGCUAUCUGUAUUGUUAUUUUAAAGCAGGGGUCUGCAAUAUUUGACGAUAAAAGAGCCACAUGAGUUAGUUUCUUACUGACCAAAACCCAGUGAGAGCCACAAAGUCCCGCUUCUGUUUUUAGACAAGCACAUUUCAUUUAUGUUUCCUUGGUCAUUAAGCCCCUCAUUUGUACAAUGUUGCUUUAGAAUAUCUAAAUAAUUAAGUAUAAAAUGUUAUAUGUGUUUUAUAUGCAACAAUUUUAACUUAUUUUAACAACAGCACAUACAAGUUCCUUUUGAAAUAAAAUACAUCCAAAUAAUUGUCAAAAAAGAUCCUCCAGCUGCAGCAGAUUUAAUUGAAAGGAAAUAAAACUGCUAGAAAAGCAAAGUCAAAGGGGUUUCUAUCAUUGUGACAUUGAUGUGCUGUUAUCCUUUUUCUUCUUUUACUAUCAAAUAUGAACAGGAUAAAACUUCUUUUUAAUCUAUACAUGUAAAUGCAAUUCUAUACUUUGCCUCUGAACAGCAGUUGUUGUGCAGCAAAAGAUAAGAAAAUGUGCUUUAAGGUUAUUCUAAUAAUAAACCACAACAGAUGAAACCUUUUACUAUAGCUUUGUUCAGUUAUAUGACAUUUUGAAAAUCUUAACAUAAAUAAAAAGACCUAUAAACUUAAAAAAAAUGAACCAAAACUACAAAACCUAUGUUUUAUUCCAAUAGUUAUCAUUUUUCUUUAAAGCCAAAGAGCCACAAUGGAGGGUUGCAGACUCCUGUUUUAGGGGGUUAAGUUUUGAUUUGUGGAAAAAUUAAGAUGUGCUGUUUGGAUUUUGGCACAAUGAUGAGGGCUCUUGCCUCACAGCAUGCAUGGGUUUUCCCACCGUCCAAAAACAUGCAUCAUCAAGUGGUUACUCUAAAAUUGUCCCUAGGUGUGAAUGUGAGUGUGCAUGGGCAUGUGACUUGAGGACUGGCAACCUAGCCAUUUUGUCCCUGCGAAAGGGACAAAACUGGUUUACAACAUGAAAAUAAAAUGAAUGAAUGUUUGGAUUCUAGUAAAAUAAUAUGAUGUUCACACAUUAAAUUGCACUUAGAUGUUAGAUUGUCAAUCUGAUUCAAGUUUCUGACCCCAUUAAACCUCAGGUAGAUAUUAGUUGAAAUUUUUGAUACUUCUUGGAAGGUAGAUUUUCUACACGGUGGGGUAGUGGUGAGUCUUGGUUGCCUUACAGUGAGAAGACACCAGUUCAAAUCCCAGCUGGGAAAUGUACAUGUGCAAGUUUUCUCCAGCUUCCUCCCAACUCUGUUUCAUAUGGAUUAAUUGGUAUCUUUAAUUUGCCCAUGUGUGAGUGUAUGGCCUUGUUGGGUGUACUCCACCUUUGUCCAGUAGUAGCUAGGAUGGCACCAACAACUCUGUGACCUCAAAAGGGAUUCAGAAUAUUCUGAAGGUGUAUAGAUCGAUGUAAAAUUGCAGUAUUUAUUAUAUAUCUAGGGUGAGUGUUUAAAAAUACACAAAGAUUAGAUGGGUAAAGGUGAUGUGUAGGAGGCCUCUUAAUGCAGAUAUCUUUCAGAACACUAUUGGUAAACUUUAAUACAGAAACAUAACAAGACUUGUCUAAGAUGUCCAGUGGACAUCCACAAUAGAUGUUUAUGAGUUAUCUAAUAGACAUAUUGUGCCCAGUGGGCAGAGCUUUUACAUUUUCUUAACACUCAAUCUCUGCUGUUUUCUCAAAGUUCUACAAGAGAAAAAAAUAAUGAUUUUAUUUACUCAAGAGUUCAUUGUUGAUUGAUGAUCGUUCAAUUAAAAAGAACAAAGCUCUUUAGGAAUCCACUGAAUUUGUGACAUUUAUCAUCCCAUCAGCUAUGAGUUCAGCUUUAUAAGUGAAGCCUGUCUGUGUUUCAGGUUAAUGAUAGUCCACUUCGUCUUGAAUCACACCGAAAGCAGAUCAGGAGGUGUGAUAGAACUAUUUCAAAUCCAAAUCCCUUGGUUUAAACUGUGUUCUAAAUGUCCUGUUAUCUAUUCUCUUCACAGAAAGUCUCCGGUGUCUUUUAAAUAAUAACGUUUUUGAGGCAAAGUUCUGCUUACACGAGGUAAAACUCAUUCUCUUUGCAGGAUGAUCAUUCUUGAAAACUAGAAAACAGUAUGCACGCUCUCCAAAACAGGUUUGGCUGGCCGAGACCGGAGCCUGAUAAAAGUUGGCCACAGAAAAACAUUUUAUAAACUUUGCAAAAAUGUCUGUAUUGAUUUAGCUAGUAUGAUUCCUUAAAAAGAGAGUUUUCACACAUUUUUUUACAAUCAAGUUUUGUUAAGAAAAUAUUUUACACAAAAAUUAAGAACAAAUAAGUGUCUAUUCUUAACACUUCUAAAACAACACAGUGGUAUUGCAAACAAUAAACUGUUGCCAAUCAAAAUAUUUGUUUUAGUAGCGGCAAUAAUAGUUAUUAGAACAGUGAGUCAUUCAGUACAUACAGUAGCUGGGCAUGGGUGACAGCAUGCAGGGAUACAUAUACUACCACACAAGCAUUAACAUCCUUGUCCUUCUGCUCUAUGAACACAUACAGAACCAAUUAAAUGUAUAUUCAAAUAUUAUUGUGAUAUCAGGUCAUACUAAUUUUGCACGCUCUCAGUUGUGUGAAAUCAGAUGAGGUAAUUUAUUUUAAAAAGACUGACA
ensembl:lncRNA